rnacentral:lncRNA from 1 species
UGGACUUUUCACAGUGAUUUAUUACCUUAUUCUUCCUCUGGUUGUUUCUUUUAAAAUAACAAGGUGUAUGUUUAACCUUUAAGAGUUUGCUACAGUAAAAGGCAUGUUGCCAUUAAUUCCCCCUCACAGUACUUUGCAUCGCUCGGAAUACGUUUGUCCCAUCAUCCUUGCAACUUCCUGAAGCAGUGCUGGACGUUCUCUUUGGUGUCUUUAUGAGGUGGGAUCAAAAAUACAGUAAAUGCUGCUGCCAAGCGCCAUCCAACAGGAAGGGAGGCCCAUAAACACAUCAUGAGUACACAUUCAUAAGGUUCUAUUAUCAGACGUCAUGGUAUAGAGUGCCUGCUGCUUGGAAGCCCUUGCUUUGGAAGAUGCAGCUGCUCUGUGCUUUCCUGGCUGUGCUCCCUCCAGGUGCCAGGGUCAGGGCUGACUGUCCUGGAAGAUGUAGCUGUGAGUCCCCACAGUCGGUGCAAUGCUACAGAGUCACCAAGGUGCCAUCGGGUAUCCCUGCCACCACCACGAGGCUCUACAUCAGCCUCAGCAAGAUCCAGCACCUCCAGCUAACUGGGCCCUUCUCUACUCUGGUCCUGUGGUUUGGUUUUGUGAGGGAGGGUGUGGGCAAGCGAUUUAAAUAAUCAUAACUCUCAAGAGCUGUUCGCAGAGGGCAGCCGUGCCACCUGCUUGCUGUGUGCUACUGAGAUGGUGUAUGCCCCUGAGUUUCUCUUUAGGGAAGCACCUCCAUGUCAGGGUCUACAGUUAAUGAUUUAAAAUCUCAACAGUUUUUAAAACUGUUGUUGCAAAGUAAAAGUAAGAAAGAUCUCUUCCUUAACAACAAAAACAAAAAAGCCCACAUGGCCAUUUUAUGUCCCCAGUAUUAAGUUCUUUCAAGGGAAAAAAGCUUUAUUUUAUGCCAUAAUGGCAGAUGAUAAAGCAUUGUAAGACCAUCAAGAUGAACCUACUGUUCUCACAGAAACGCACAGGCUAGCCAGGUACUGCUGUCUCUGUGGAAACCGACAGAGGAAAUGCGUGGGUUUUUUCUGUUGUGCCAGAUUACUGGCAGUUCUCACUUUGUGUGCUUUUAAUUCUGACUAUUUUUAUGCUCACCGAUCCUGAGGACUCUGGAAAGCGUUCGGUAGAUUUUUCUGAGUUUUACAGCAUCAAGAAACUUACACCUGAUCUUUGCUGUUUUGAAAGGUGUUUGGGACUAAGGUUCUCAGCCUGAUUCCUCACUAACUACAGAGAUGUGACCAUCUCAGACAAGCUGUUAAAAAACGUUUCUGGGCCGCAUUUACUCUGAUGUGAGAAGACUGCACUGGAUAAGGUGACUGCAGGGCUCUCCUCACAGAAGGUUCAGUGGCUCUCAUUUUGCCUUCCUGUUGCCUGUUUCUCCCUCACAGAUCCAGGUCCAACCUUUCCCCUUGUUUUAGAUUCGACCGACCGGCUCCCCACUAGCAUUCUUCACAUUGAUGUGUGAGAAGGAUCUCCAAACAACGGGUUCCAAACUGAAUUCAGUCUCCCCCCUCACUUGUGGUUUGGGGGCCUGGGUUCUUUCACUUAGCAUACUCAGUGUUUGGCCUGGUCAUACAGGGUCCAAACUUUCUUUUAAAGGCGGAAUGUCCUUAUCACUGUGUUUCCCUGAAGAUAAGGCCUAUCUAGAGAUCAAACAUGCCAGCCCCACUCCACCUGUCCUUGCCUUCCUUGCCAUGACAGAGGAGCCACAGAGCAAGAGAACACUGGCCGUCACCAUGGAACAACCAGCUGUUGAUUUCAGCGGGAGUUUAUUUUCUGAGUAGGUCUUAUUUUCAAGAAAACAUGCAUACCACAUGUGUGUUCAUGCAUCAGUUUAUGGACGUUUGGGUUGUUUCUUCUUUUUGGCUAUUAUGAAUGACAUGGUUAUGGAUAUUCAUGUUUCAAAUACAACGUUUUUGUUGUUGUUGUUUUUGGUGUUUUGAGACAGUCUCAUUUUGUUGUGCAGGCUGGCCUUGAACUUGCAGCGACCCUCCUGCCUCACCUCCUGAGUGCUGGGAUUAUAAGCGUGUGCUACCGUGCCUGGCUCAAAUACAAGUUUUUAAUGUGGCCUAGGUUUUCCUUUCUCUUGGGCAUAUACCUUGCAGUGGAAUUUCUGAGUCAUGUGCUGACGCUGAAAACAUUCUGAGGAACUGUCAGACUGUUUCCCAGAGCAGCCAUGCCAUUUGCCCCCACGGCCACGUGACAGUUCACAUUUUCCGAGACAUCGUAACACUUCUUUUUAUCUUUAUUUUUUCCUUCUGGUCAUAGCCUUUCUAGUGGGUGCCAGGUGGUAUCUCUUUGGAGGUUUGAUUUGCAUUAUCCCAUUGGCGAAUGAUGUUUAACAUCAUUUCCUGCUUACUGACCAGUCAUAUAAGUUCUGUGGAGAAAUGCAUAUACAAAUUCUUCGCCCCUUUUGUAAGUGGGUUACUUGUCUUUUUAGUAUUGAGUUACAAGCAUUCUUUAGAUAGUCUAGAUACAAGUUUCUUAUGAGAGAUAUUAUUUGCAAAGAAUUGCUCCCAUCCAGUGGGUUGUCUUUCAUUUUCUUGAUAGUGUCUUUUCAUACAUAAAAUUUUUAAAUUUGAUUCAUUUCAAUUUUUUUGUGAGUGUACACCCUGUGUUUUGGGGGUCACGUAUAAGAUACCUUUACCAAAUUCAAGGAUGUGAGAAUUUAUGCCUAUAUUUUCUCCUAAGAGUUUUAUAGUUUGAGCUUUUACAUGUAGGUCCACGAUCCAUUCUAUUUUUUUUUUUUUUGAUGGUGUGCUAAGAGUUCAACCUUGUUCUUUAGAAACCUCCAUCCUUUUCUAUUUCUGUUCACUUACUCUCACUUGGCUCGCAAGUCAUGAUGAACUGCUCGAUUGUGCUGAAUGAAAGAUCAGAGGAGCAAUUCAUUCCUUGUGAUACCAACAGACACGCUGCUGGGUGACCCACAUCACUCGUAUUUUGAGGCAGACCUUUCAGUUCAGAUUUUGUGUUCAUACAUGCAAAGCAUAACUAAAUUCAUCUCACGACAGUCAUUCAAACUGCUUCAAGUCAAAAUGACUCAUUCUCUUCGAAGGCAGCAGACAAAUACAAAUGUGGUUAUUGUGGUAGUAAAUUAAAAUAAUUCUCCUUUACAUCAUUGAUGAAAGAGAAGAAGCUAUAUUCAGUUUUUCCUGGGUAAGAAAUAUAUAAACAGGGUUUAUCACUAAGCUGUGGGAUUAUAGAUUAUUUUUAUUCUCUUUCCAUAAAUUUAG